rnacentral:piRNA from 1 species
UAAGUGCUGGGAGUGAAAGCAUGCAUC